CUUAAGGAUGUGAAGCACAAUGGCCAACUUUGAAGCUUAUCAGGAAUAUCAGAGAAUUGAGGAUUUCGAGGAGGACUCGCCACCAGGGGAGGAAGACUUACUGGUGCAUGUGCCCGAAGGCCUGAAAGACUCAUGGCACCAUAUCAAGAACCUGGAUAACUUCUUCACAAGGAUCUAUCAUUUUCAUCAGAAAAAUGGCUUUGCUUGUAUGAUGUUGUCAGAGUUCUUUGAACUUGUUCAGUUUUUGUUUGUUGUCACAUUCACGACGUUCCUUGUCAACUGUGUGGAGUAUGAUGUCCUGUUUGCCAAUCAAGCAGUCAAUCACACCGGAACAGGCCAGAAUCCCUUGGACAGGAACAAAGUCACUCUUCCCGAUGCCAUCUUACCUAGCCAGCAGUGCACUCGGAGGAUUAAAGAAAACAGCUGGAUUAUAUUUCUUCUCAUCAUGGCAGCCAUUUUCUGGAUCUAUCGACUUGUGAAGGUCUUCUGCAAUGUUCUGAGCUAUUGGGAAAUCAGGCAGUUCUACAUCAAAGCACUGAAGAUCGGAAUGGAUGAACUAUGCAACUUCACAUGGCAGGAGGUCCAGGACCGACUCAUCAGCCUGCAGCGAGAACAGCAAAUGUGCAUACACAAGAAAGAGCUGACAGAACUCGACAUCUAUCACCGCAUCCUGCGCUUCAAGAACUACAUGGUGGCCAUGAUAAACAAAUCACUGCUGCCAGUACAGCUACACUUCCCCCUGCUGGGCAAUGUGGUGUUCCUCACCCAGGGCCUCAAGUACAACUUUGAGCUCAUCCUCUUUUGGGGUCCUGGCUCUCUGUUUCAGAAUAAGUGGAACCUGCACCCCAAGUACAAGCGCAGUGGGAACCGCCUAGAGCUUGCCCAGCAGCUUAGUAGAGUCAUCCUCCUGAUGGGUUUAGCCAAUUUGCUGCUGUGCCCCUUCAUCCUAGUGUGGCAGGUACUCUAUGCUUUUUUUAGCUAUACAGAAGUGAUCCGCAGAGAACCUGGAAGCCUGGGUGCACGACGCUGGUCCCUGUAUGGUCGUCUCUACCUGCGACACUUCAAUGAGCUGGACCAUGAGCUGUAUGGGCGUUUAGGUCGUGCCUACAAACCCACUUCCAAAUACAUGAACUCCUUUACAUCACCACUGCUGACUGUGCUUGCAAAGAACAUUGCGUUCUUCUCAGGCUCAGUGUUGGCUGUUCUCAUUGCACUGACAGUAUAUGAUGAGGACGUUCUCACAGUGCAGCACAUUCUGACUGCAAUCACUGUGCUGGGGGUAGUUAUUACCAUUGCUAGGUCAUUCAUCCCAGAUGAGCAUAUGGUGUGGUGUCCAGAACAGCUGCUGCAGUGCAUGCUGGCACACAUUCACUACAUGCCAGAUCACUGGAGGGGCAAUGCUAACAAGAGCGAGACCCGUGACGAGGUGGCGCAGCUGCUCCAGUACAAAGCGGUUUUUAUCCUAGAGGAGUUGCUCAGUCCUAUCGUCACACCCUUCAUUCUCAUCUUCCUCCUGAGAAACAAGUCUCUAGAGAUAAUUGACUUCUUCAGGAACUUUACUGUGGAGGUGGUUGGAGUUGGAGACAUAUGCUCCUUUGCACAAAUGGACAUUAGACGCCAUGGAAACCCAACAUGGCUGUCAGAGGGCCAAACAGAGGCUUCUGUGUACCAGCAGGCUGAGAACGGCAAGACAGAGUUGUCCCUCAUGCAUUUCACCAUUAAGAAUCCACGCUGGCAGCCACCACAGGAGAGCUCAGUGUUUAUCAGCCAUUUAAAAGAGAAGGUGCAGCAUGAUGCACAGGGCGGCCCCUCCACCCAACUGUUGCUCUCUGAGGCUCCUCUCUGCACUUCACUGCAGUCUAAUGAGUCUGCCACUGGGCCUGAUAAUUUGUUGGCCAGUGUCUUGGCCCAUCCCAUUCUAACUGCAUCUGGACUACAAGGGCGAGAACAUCGCUUCAUCCCACCAAGCACUGCUGCUUCUGCUGCUGCCAGCGUCCUGGCUUCAUUGUCCACCUCCCAGCUUGCACCUACCAGCCGUGGCCACUCGCAUGGUCUCCUGCCCUCCUCCAUCCACCCUGAGAGCACCAUGUACCGCAGUGAUCGCACCAUCAUUGACAGUAUGUCUAACAGUGACUCUCGCAUCCGGAGUAAUGCACUGCACUCAGAGUUUGCCUCUGCGGAGAUGAGCCUCCAUGCCAUCUACAUGCACGAGCUCCACCAGCAGAGCUCCCACCCACAGAGAACUUCAGGGCAGUGGCAGAAUGCAGUGCCAAUGAGAGAUAUGCGAACAAACACUGGCUUCCAGGCUCAUAGCGGCCUUGGUUCCAGCAUGUCCACUCCUGUCCACCUCGGCGGGUGGAGAGAAGAGGAAGAGGGGGAGGGUGAAGAUGAGCAGAAGAUCAACAGUGGAUCUACUCCAAAGCAGGGCACAGGGAGUAGUAGCUGAAGUGCCUUAUAUCAUAAGGUGUAUUCUCAUCUCUCUUUAAACUCUAAGAUGACACUUGUCCAUGGUCUAUGCUUUGUGGUCCUGUAUUUUGUGACAUACUUGUUUGUAUCCUACAAUGGAUACAUUGACAUGAUAACUUCUCUUCUUUGUUUUUUAGUGUUUACAUUUUAUUUUCUUCGCUGAACAUUGUGGCCUUAGAUGAUCUUCAUGAAGAAUUUAGCAUGGACCUUUAAAACAUCAUUCAGCAUUUGUUGUUGUGCAUGGUUAUCUCUUGCUCAGCAGAUGUUGAUCAGGAAUUGAUAUCCCCGGAGUGAUGUGGAGGAAAACAUAUUUUCAGUGUAAGAGCAUGAAGAGACAAAAGCCUUUCCAGAGUGAGCACCACUUUUUAGUUUUAGGAGUAUUUAUUACUUGGUUUCCCACAGAUAUUUAAUUGAUGUGUAUAUAUAUGUAUUAUUUAUUUGAAAAACAUUUGAUUUAUGAUAAUCUCAUUAAUAAAAGAAAUGGCGUCCCCCUCCUCAUAGCCCACUAAAACUAGUUUCAAGAACAAUUUAUGAUUUUUGAAUUUUUUUUUUUUUAUUGCAAAAAACUUCAAAGCUGCAUGAUGUUGAAUGUGAUUGACACUUAAAAUAACCUGGUUCUAAACCUGCUUGUUGAUUCAGUGAAAUAUCUAGCUAGCCACUUUUGAAACAGACCACACUAAUAUAGAUCUCAUCCUCCGCUACUGCAAGACUUUAGAGAGUACAAAUGUGCUUUGUCCUCUGUAUUUAGAAAUGCCGGGUGUGUGUAUCUGUGGAACAGAUGCCUGACACUUGCAUAAUUAUGCUAACAUGAAUUCAGAAUUUUGCACUGACGGAAAAGAACAUUUUUUUUAAAGUGUGUGUAUAAACUGUAUAUACAGUACUUGCAUCAGUUUCACUGAAAAGGACACUGAAUCAGUUUCCAUCCUAACUGACCUCUUUUCAGUUUUUGUAUAUAAGCGUAGCAUCAAAACAUACUGUAUUGUUACUGUCCACAGCAGACAUCAGGAAACACUGUGGCCAUUCACAUAUGAUUGCUCUUACCUCUGGUCUGUUCACCCUGUAGGGGGUGAUGUGUGUUUCUACCCCACUCUUUAGCGUGCUUACCUGAGUUUUGUUGUCACUGUUCGUUUGGUACAUCUUACAAAUGGCUAUGAGUUUAUGUCAGAGAGAUACAGGAGCUCGGCUUUGAGCGCAGUCUCUCACAUUUACACCCCACUGUUGUGUUUGUCAUUUUAUUUUAAGCAGUGCCUUAGUUUUAAGGAUUAUUUGCUGUUUUUAAGAAGCCACUUCAUGUAAACCAUCUGAUUUAUUUUCACAGUUUUAGCAGCACAUACUAUGUUCAGUAUUUUUGUUUGGCAAGUCAUUGUGUAUAGCAUCAAAUACGUAGUGAAACCGUGUAUUGUAAGAUGAGUUACAAACUGACGUUGUGUCAGUCUUGCACUGUAUUGAAAAUCUUAAAGAAGCAGGAGUAUGCCUUGUAAUAGGUGGUGUCAUCAUGGCCAAUCCUCUCAUCAUACAAUGGUUUCUUAUCCACUGUACACCAGUCUGAGAAUCACAGUGACUGGUACAAGGUGCUAAGUUUUCACCCUUAAGUGUUGAAUAUGUUUAAAUGUGCGUGUGUGUUUUUCUUACAUAGACGUGUCUGUUUUGUUCUGUAAAUUAAGAAACACUAGCUGAAAAGUGAAACAUGCCAAAAGACCUUGUUUUCAGCACUGCUUUACAAUAUGUGUUGUUUUCUGUGAGUGGGUAGAGAGAAAAAUAAAUAUUAUUUUGAGUGUAUUUAACCAUUUUCCCGUGUGGUUAAUUUUGUGAUGUUUGUUUUAAAUUUAAAACAAAUUUUCUGUCGGUUUUAUAAUACUGUUUGUAUUGAUUUACCUACUAAUGCUAAGUUGUUGCAAGUGAUCACCCUUAUCCUGUGAUGAAACAUUUCUAUCCUGAUGAGAGUGACCUCUUCUAGGAUAACAUUCAUAGGGCACAAGGGAUCACUGAAUAUCUUUUGGAAGAACGGAGUCAAUCCCUCCAGUAGAGUUCAGAGACUGAAGCUGUCCUGGUGGAACAUGGUGUCCUUACUAAGACACUUGGUUUUUUUUUUUUCUUUAUCUUGUCUGCAUGUGACACUGUUAUUCUGGUCUUGAUGGUGGCCUUUUUUAAACUAAAGAGGCAAACUUUUAUCUUCUAACA